UGAGUAACGCGUGAGUAACCUGCCUUCAAGAGGGGGAUAACAUUCUGAAAAGAAUGCUAAUACCGCAUGACAUAUCGGAACCACAUGGUUUUGAUAUCGAAGAUUUUAUCGCUUGAAGAUGGACUCGCGUCCGAUUAGUUAGUUGGUGAGGUAACGGCUCACCAAGACCGCGAUCGGUAGCCGGACUGAGAGGUUGAACGGCCACAUUGGGACUGAGACACGGCCCAGACUCCUACGGGAGGCAGCAUG
rnacentral:rRNA from 1 species